rnacentral:rRNA from 1 species
GACGACGGCUGGCGGCGUGCCUAACACAUGCAAGUCGAGCGGGGUUGAAGCGAGGGGUAACUCGAGUUUCUACCUAGCGGCGGACGGGUGAGUAACGCGUGGGCAACCUGCCUCAAGGACUGGGAUAACAGCUCGAAAGGGCUGCUAAUACCGGAUAAGCCUAUGGCCUCGCAUGGGGCCAUGAGCAAAGGGGAAACCCGCCUUGAGAUGGGCCCGCGUCCCAUCAGCUAGUUGGUGAGGUGAAGGCUCACCAAGGCGACGACGGGUAGCCGGCCUGAGAGGGUGACCGGCCACACUGGGACUGAGACACGGCCCAGACUCCUACGGGGGGCAGCAGUGGGGAAUCUUGCACAAUGGGCGAAAGCCUGAUGCAGCGACGCCGCGUGAGCGAAGAAGGCCUUCGGGUUGUAAAGCUCUGUCUGGAGGGACGAAGGAAGUGACGGUACCUCCGGAGGAAGCCACGGCUAACUACGUG